AACUCCAGGCCUCCUCCCAUCCCCGCUCUAGGUUGUUUUUGUUGGAGACGCCCUCCUCUUCCUCUUGCUUUCCCCGCCCCUCCUCACGUCUUCCUCUGGAGAAAGUGAGACCCCCGGGCCUGACUGUGUUGGUGCGAAGAGGUUAGCGAGCUUCCAGUUAAUCCAUCUGGAUGCAUCAUAUCCAACCUUCAAAGGAUCCAAGGGGCAGGAUCAACCUUUGUUCCAUAGUUGAGGAAACUGACCAAUAAACACAUGUGUCUCAUGCCUCAGUGUCAACUCCCGCAGAAAUCUCUGGCAUUAUUUACAAUAGGCAAGACUUGGAAGCAGCCCAUG